rnacentral:lncRNA from 1 species
AGCAGUAGUCGUAGCACAACCCCCAGCCGCAACUCCAACACAGGCAGCUGCUCCACACGGCAUCACCAACGUCACCAAAAUCCUUGAGAAGGCUGGCCACUUCACGAUCUUUAUCCGCCUUUUGAGAUCCACCCAAGAGGAAAACCACCUGUUCUCCGCGCUCAAUGAUUCAAGCUCUGGUGUAACCAUCUUUGCACCGACAGAUGGUGCCUUUUCGGAACUCAAAUCAGGAACUCUCAAUACUCUAAGUGAUGGUGACAAGUCUGAGUUGGUGAAGUUCCACGUAGUUCCAACAUUCCUUUCCACUUCCCAGUUUCAGACUGUAAGUAAUCCUCUUGGAACAUGGGCUGGAACAGGUAGUAGGUUACCACUUAACGUCACAAGUUAUCCAAACUCGGUGAACAUAACCACAGGACUUACCAAUACAAGUUUAUCUGGCACGGUAUACACGGACAACCAGCUAGCCAUUUAUAAGAUUGAGAAGGUGCUCCUUCCCAAGGACAUUUUUGCUUCUAAGGCCCCAGCUCCAGCACCAGUAGCACUCGCACCGGAAAAGCCUACGAAGGCAGUUCCUGCAGCUAAUGUUGAGAGUCCUGUUGCUCCAGUGGAUAUAUCUGGCGCAGUCAUGUUCACGCGUAAUAACGUGGUUGGAUUAGUUGGUAUAGUUGCUGCUGCAAUCUUUGCUUUAUAAUGUUGAAGGGUUUGAAUCUCGAGAUGGGAUAAGCUGGGUUGGGUCCGGCAGCGUCUAAUUUUUCUGAGUUGGAUUGAAAGCUUGGUGUGUGUUGAAUAAUUCCGAUUUUACUUUGAAUCCAGUUUGUAUGAUUUUAGGCUAUGAUUAAAAUUGAGUUUCGAGGCUUUAUUUAAUUUCUUGAGCAAAUUGCUAUAUAUGUACUUGAUUAGUCAAACUUCAUUUGUUGUUUUUUUGUGAUCACCCUGGUGUCAUCGAAUCAUGCCCUAACUUUUUCUCAGAUAAUAGUGGAUGUGUUGGUGGUUCUAUUUCUUGGAAGUCUAGUUAUCGGAGGAGUAGAUGGAGUGAGAUUUUUGGAGGUUUCGGAGAUUUUUCGGCUGAGAUGUCAUAUUAAGAGGUUGUAGUUUUUGCUUGCUAGGUGUUGCCAUGUUUUUUAUUGAACAUUAGCUCACUGGAUCUGGAGGAAGGUUUAUAGGAUUACUUCCUCCGAGGAAGACUUUUCUGAUGCAGAGAUAGGGGGAUGUAGGCUAAUAAGGGUGAGCAUGGGGCAAACUAUCACGAGAUUAGGGGAGACAAAGCAUGCAUUAGGGAGGGUAGAGAGAAAGAAAAAAGAGGUUGCAGGACAAUGGUGAAAGCAGAUAUUUCAUUACAAGUUUUUGAAGUGGUUGGAAUCAAAAGAGUAGAAAAUGCUAAUGAUUAUACAUGGUAAGAUUAUACAUGGUUCUGCUGACAGCAUUUGAAUGCGAGGGUGAACAUAAUGCAAAAGAGUAGAAAAUGCUAAUGAUCAAGAAAUCAGGCUUCUGAAACAGAACUACCUUUACUAGGUUAUCUCUUGAACUUCUACUGAACUUAAUGUGAACAAAUCUGCUGUAUUGCUCUCACACAGGAACCUUAUAAGAUUCCUCAGAAUGAAUUUUUCUCUAGUUUAAGCAAUCCCACAUCAGGCGUCUGAAACAGAACUACCUUUACUAGGUUAUCUCUUGAACUUCUACUGAACUUAAUGUGAACAAAUCUGCUGUAUUGCUCUCACACAGGAACCUUUUAAGAUUCCUCAGAAUGAUUUUUUCUCUAGUUUAAGCAAUCCCACAUCAGGUUAAGUUCUUUUCUCCUGUUUCAAAACUGCUGGUGUUGAUAAUUAGAGAAAAGAUAGUGUUAGAGAGCAUAGGAUUGUUACUUUAAGCUUGAGGAAGUGGAUUCCAAUCAGUAAAAUUGUCGAAGUUAUUUCACAAUUUUCAUAAACUGAAUGUGACAGACGACUGCCAGAAAGACCCUUCUAUGAUUUGCUGCAUUAUGGAGGAAAAUCAUGGUAUUGGUGGGCAAUUUAAGUUCAAUAGAACGGCAGCAGCCAGCAAGGCAAAGAAAAAAACAACCACAAGCAGUUCCCACCCAAAGCGUAAACAACCUACCAGAAGAGAUCCUCCUCCAAAUCCUCUGGUCAGUCCUUCCAACCAUGACUGCAAUCUAAACAGACUUAAUAUCCCACAAACGGCCUGAGCUCUAGUACAGAAUCCCUUGCCUCAACUCCCUCAUCCUUCCUCCUCUGCGUUCAUCUACUAAACCCUCCUCCACCGCCUUUUCUUUCAUCCUCUCCAUGAAUAAAAGAAGAUUUGCCAUUUAACAUCAUGUAAAAGAGCACAAUUUCUUUUACUUCGAAAGGGCUAUCUUAAAGUUUCAAGACUUGCGUUUGCAUACUGCAAAAAUCACUUUUAUCAAUAGCAUGACCUCUACGGGCUCAUGUACAUAAGGUAAGUGUUUCUUCAUUAAGUUGUGUUGAGUGAUGGUCUGGUGUGAGAUUUGAUUUCUGAGCGUGCGAAUCUAGAAAAUUAGUGAUCUAUCAAUGUCUGUCAAGGAUCAAGGAUGUAAAUAUUCAUUCUUUUAAGCUAAAAGAGCAAAGAUUGGCUGGUGUGAGAUUUGAUUUCUGAGCGUGCGAAUCUAGAAAAAUUAGUGAUCUAUCAACGUCUGUCAAGGAUUAAGGAUGUAAAUAUUCAUUCUUUUAAGCUAAAAGAGCAAAGAUUGGCUAUUUACGAUACAGAGGUCAGUUUAGAUAGCUUGUCUAAAUCUUCUGUCAUUGUAGAUGAAUUGUUUUGAUGUUAAGAAGCAUGCUCAGCUGUUCUGCUAGUGACGAUUCAGACAAUCAUGGACAUCUUUAGUUGUUGUCACAGCCACUUGAAAUGUACAUUUUAUAACCUUUUUUUUUGGCCUGCUUUUCCAAGCCAAGUAGUUGCUGCAGCAUUGUUAAAUUUCCCUCUCCAUUGAUGACCCUACAGCUUUUGGAGUGAGAUAAGGUACUAGCAACCUAGUUGUAUAACUAAAAUUGUAUAUUGCACCUAACUUGAUCCUCUGUCCACUACUAUAAAAACCUCACUCUAUCUCAUCUUUACACAUCAAACACUUUAUGAUUGAGAUCAAUUUGCAUUAGUAUAUUUGAAUUGUUUCGAGCAUUUUAUCCCAAAAAACUAAGGAUGAAGCAACAGCACUCAAUCUUCUCAUUUUCAAUGCUCCUUCUUUCCCUUUGUUAUAUCAAUACCUUUGCCCAGUCACCAACAGCAGCCCCAGCACAGGCACCAGCAGUAGUCGUAGCACAACCUCCAGUCGCAACCCCAACACAGGCAGCUGCACCACACGGCAUCACCAACGUCACCAAAAUACUUGAGAAGGCUGGCCACUUCACGAUCUUUAUCCGCCUUUUGAGAUCCACCCAAGAGGAAAACCACUUGUUCUCCGCCCUCAAUGAUUCAAGCUCUGGUGUAACCAUCUUUGCACCGACAGAUGGUGCCUUUUCGGAACUCAAAUCAGGAACUCUCAAUACUCUAAGCGAUGGUGACAAGUCUGAGUUGGUGAAGUUCCACGUAGUUCCAAC